UGGGGAAUAUUGCGCAAUGGGGGAAACCCUGACGCAGCAACGCCGCGUGAAGGAUGAAGGUUUUCGGAUUGUAAACUUCUUUUAUCAGGGACGAAAAAAAUGACGGUACCUGAAGAAUAAGCCACGGCUAACUACGUGCCAGCAGCCGCGGUAAUACGUAGGUGGCAAGCGUUGUCCGGAUUUACUGGGUGUAAAGGGCGAGCAGGCGGGACUGCAAGUCAGAUGUGAAAACGAUGGGCUUAACCCAUCGACUGCAUUUGAAACUGCGGUUCUUGAGUGAUGGAGAGGCAGGCGGAAUUCCUAGUGUAGCGGUGAAAUGCGUAGAUAUUAGGAGGAACACCAGUGGCGAAGGCGGCCUGCUGGACAUUAACUGACGCUGAGGCGCGAAAGCGUGGGGAGCAAACA
rnacentral:rRNA from 1 species